rnacentral:rRNA from 1 species
AGUGAACGCUGGCGGUAGGCCUAACACAUGCAAGUCGAACGAGUGGCGGACGGGUGAGGAAUACAGCGGAAUCUACUCUGGCGUGGGGGAUAAAGUAGGGAAACUGACGCAAAUACCGCAUACGCAUGAAUGAGCCGAGGUGGGAUUAGCUAGUGGGCGGGGUAAAUGCCCACCAAGGCGACGAUCCGUAGCUGGUCUGAGGGGAUGAACAGCCACACGGGAACUGAGACACGGUCCAGCCUCCUACGGGAGGCAGCAGUGGGGAAUAUGGGACAAUGGGCGCAAGCCUGAUCCAGCCAUACCGCGUGGGUGAAGAAGGCCUUCGGGUUGUAAAGCCCUUUUGUUGGGAAAGCGGUACCCAAAGAAUAAGCACCGGCUAACUUCGUGCCAGCAGCCGCGGUAAUUC